ACGGAGGAUGCAAGCGUUACUCGGAAUCACUGGGCUUAAAGGGCGCGUAGGCGGCGUGUUAAGUCGGGGGUGAAAUCCUAUGGCUCAACCACAGAAUUGCCUUCGAUACUGGGGCGCUUGAGUACACUUGAAGUGGGUGGAACGUGGCGUGUAGCGGUGAAAUUCGUAGAUAUGCCACAGAACACCGGUGGCGAAGGCGGCCCACUGGAUUAUAACUGACGCUGAGGCGCGAAAGCGUGGGGAUCAAACAG
rnacentral:rRNA from 1 species